ACUAGACGCUACUUAAGUCAGUGUCGUUACAACGUCAGUACGGCAAACUACAUAGAUUCUUUGUUGUGUUGUGACAUUUUUGUUUUUAAUUUUAAUUUUGCUUUCUAAGCGUUCGUUCCAAUUGUAUAGUGUCACUAGUUCUGUGCACUAGUGUCAGAGACAAGACUUGUCUCUGCUAGUGUGUUUAUAUGCCCAGUUUGACUGUGAUUAUUUACAUGUUAUACACUAAGCUUUACCAGUGGGUUCAGCAGAAAUGUUUGGCACAACAGUAUAGUUACUUGAUGUGGAAAUUACUGUAAACCAGUCGGCCGCACUUGAAUGAAG
rnacentral:lncRNA from 1 species